CGCGAAUGGCUCAUUAUAACAGCUAAAAUCUACUUGAUCUUGACACAAUCCUACUUGGAUAACUGUGGUAAUUCUAGAGCUAAUACAUGCAUUAAAGCUCUGACCUUAGGGGAAGAGUGCAUUUAUUAGAACAAAACCAAGCGGCUUCGGCUGUUUUCGGUUGACUCAUAGUAACUGAGCUGAUCGCAUGGUCUUGCACCGGCGACGUGUCUUUCGAGUAUCUGCCGUAUCAACUUUCGAUGGUAGUGUACCUGACUACCAUGGUGAUCACGCGUAACGGAGAAUAAGGGUUCGACUCCGGAGAGUUCGCCUGAGAAAUCGCGAACACAUCUAAGGAAGGCAGCAGGCGCGAAAAUUACCCACUCUCAGCACGAGGAGGUAGUGACGAAAAAUAACGAGACCGUUCUCUUAUGAGGCCGGUCAUCGGAAUGGGUACAAUUUAAACCCUUUAACGAGUAUCUAUGAGAGGGCAAGUCUGGUGCCGCAGCCGCGGAAUUCAGCU
rnacentral:rRNA from 1 species